UACGUAGGGUGCGAGCGUUGUCCGGAAUUAUUGGGCGUAAAGAGCUUGUAGGCGGUUUGUCGCGUCUGCUGUGAAAAUCCGGGGCUCAACCCCGGACUUGCAGUGGGUACGGGCAGACUAGAGUGUGGUAGGGGAGACUGGAAUUCCUGGUGUAGCGGUGGGAUGCGCAGAUAUCAGGAGGAACACCGAUGGCGAAGGCAGGUCUCUGGGCCACUACUGACGCUGAGAAGCGAAAGCAUGGGGAGCGAACAGG
rnacentral:rRNA from 1 species